UGAAACAUUUUCACAGAUUCACUAUGGAUCUACUCCAAAAGAAAAACAGAGCCAAGAGAGACAACCCAAAACCACAAAUGAAGUAGCAUCUCAGCAAGCAGAAAACAUUCCAGAACUAAAUGACCUGGAUGGAGCUGUUGCUUCUGGAGGGGGAGCAACCCUAUCAGACCAGAAAAGUGAAAGACCCAGAGGUAAAAUCAAGCUACCAGAAAAAUGUACAGCACUGAAUGGGAAACUCUGCCAGAGCACUGUAUGUAAAGGAAAGACAUUUGUACUAUGCAAAUGUGAAGCCAAGCCAAACAGAAAUGAUUUAGAUAAUUGUCCAGAUUGUGGGUACAAAAUAGCCAAAUAGAACUAUUAUGAUCCAAGCUACAGAAAAUGCUUUAGAAUGAGUGUGCCUAAUAAUUGUGUGCAUGUCUUAAAUUGUUGGUCAUAUUCCUUUCAGAAAAUGUUUUUUUUUUCCAUUUUUUUUUUUUUUUUUUUGUAGUAUAAUAAUCAUAAUUCCACACAUUUAUUGAAACAUUGAAUGAAAUCCUAAAAAAAAAAUAUUUUAAAACAUUUUGCUUGGGUUGGCACAUGUGUUUAGACAGUUGAAUACUUAAAAUUUAGGGAGACAUAGCCCGGUUGGGAUUAUCUUUUGGAAGCACAAUACAACUCUUCAAAUUUUCUUCCUUUUUCUUUGCUUGAGUUUACAUUCUUUACAUUAUUGUAGGUAGUUGCACCAAAAAAUUUAAAUUAAUCCUAUACCAACAAAUGUGUAAUAGAAUGAAAGAGGAUGAAAAAUGCUUUCCAACAACACCAAAUUUAUUAUGCUAGCAUUAUUGGUUCAAAAGUUAUUGUGAAUUUAAGUUUGUCCGAGGCGUCCUGACAUCCUAUGGACUUUAUAUAGAGAAAUAAAAAAAAAAGUGAAGCAAAUGUUUUUUAAUGUGAAUAUUUCAAAAACUAUUGUGAAUACAUAUACAAAAGUAUAUAUCAAAUUGUACAGUUUUAAAGGAGGAAUUUUAAUUUAUAAGUGGCAAAUCAAAAUGAAAUUAAUAUUUUAAAAUAUCAUUAGUAAAGUACGAGAAAAUACAAUUUUUUCUAAUUUUCUUAAAAUAGUCUAUAAAAAGAAAAAUGCUCCUGGUUGUCAAGUUUUCAACACAAUAAGAUUCUAAAUUGAUCUAGAUCUAUCUAGUUAUAAAACAAUAGUGUAGAUUAGAAAAAGAAUCUCUUUAGAAUAUUUAGAUUUAAGAUUUAGAUCUAUUUAAUUAUAUUUAUUUGAAAGAAUAUUUUAGAUACCGGUACCUAGAUUUACAGAUUUCAGCUUCGACAUCGACUGACCAAAAGAACUCUCAAGAAUACAGAUCUUUAUUAUAUUUUAUGUUAAUAAGCAAUGAUAUAGGUAUAAAGAAGUGAUUCAUUCAAUUUGACAUGUUUUAGUGUACACUAAUUUUAUUUUUCUUAUGUAAAAAACAGAUAUUAAUGAUAAAAGGUCAUCCCGACCUUAUUGAAAUUCUAGUACCUGAAAAAAGUGUGCUAAGUUUUAAAAUAUCGUUGAGUCGUUUAAUCAUAAUAAAUUUGGUAUCAUUGGAAAGCUGAAUGAAUUUUCUAAGUGUAUGGUUUAAAACUAAAGAUGUACAUAGACCCUUUAUUUUUUUUCCUUGUUAUUUGAAAAUUUCAAAUUUUUCAGAUUAAAAUAUUUUGGACAUAGUAAGAGAAAAAAAAAUAAUUUUCCACUAGCUAUUAGAGGAACCUGUUAUCUUUAGAAUAAACUCAAGAAAAUGUCAUAAAAACACUCAGUUAUAAAGCAAUGUCUUUUCUUAGGACAUGCUUAAUUUCAGUUUUGUAAAACCUGAACAGGAAAUUGUUUUGAUGUCAAAUGUGUUUUUAGAUCCAAUAUGGCCGCCUGUGAGAGUACCUACAUUAUUGUUACCCCUUUGAAAAUGUGUACCUAAAUGUAGGUAUGAGCAUGUCAAAAGGUUAAUCUCAUUGUAAAUUGUCAAAGGAAAUGAUGUUUGUGAAAUGUUGAUGUUUGUGAAAUGUUUUACAUGUUUGGGAUGUUAUUUCAGAGUUAAAGAUAAUCUACUUCCUAGGCCAAAACUCCAGCAGGACAAUGGAGAGUGGGCAGGGUUUGAUUCCGGGACUAUCGAUAAGUCUGAUCAACAGUCCAGCAUGCAAAACACAUGAACAGGCACCAAUACGGCAAGAACAAUGCCAAUUACAAUAUAUUAGGCAAAAUUUUUAAAAAUUAGUGAAGUCAUCAUUCCAUUUUACUUUUAAGUUAAGAAAAAAGCUAAAAAAAAAUUACUUAGAAAUAAAAACAAAUGGUUAUUUUUAAUUUUAAGUUUUUAGUUUAGUUUGAAACUGAAUCAAAUGGCACUAAUUGAAUAUACUAGCUUAUAUAAGAAAAAUAUUUUUGGAAAUGGAUACCAAAUAAAAAGAAAUUAAUUUUUAAAAAAAGGUUCACCUAAAUUGUACUUUAAUUUUUGUGUUGAGGACUUCAAUUUGUCUGAACAAAUUAAUCUUUGAAAUACUCAUACUUA